UACAGAGGUCUCGAGCGUUGUUCGGAUUCAUUGGGCGUAAAGGGCGCGUAGGCGGCCUGGUAAGUAGGGGGUGAAAUCCUGCGGCUUAACCGCAGGGCUGCCUUCUAAACUGUCAGGCUCGAGCACGGUAGAGGCAGAUGGAAUUCCCGGUGUAGCGGUGGAAUGCGUAGAGAUCCGGAAGAACACCGGUGGCGAAGGCGGUCUGCUGGGCAGUAGCUGACACUGAGGCGCGGACAGCGUGGGGAGCAAACAGG
rnacentral:rRNA from 1 species